rnacentral:lncRNA from 1 species
UUUUUUUUAUAAUUUUUUUAUUUUGCCACUGUACAGCAAGGGGGUCAGGUUAUCCUUACGUGUAUACAUUAUAAUUACAUUUUUUCCCCCACCAUUUGUUCUGUAGCAACAUGAGUAUCUAGACAUAGUUCUCAAUGCUACUCAGCAGGAUCUCCUUGUAUAUCUAUUCUAAGUUGUGUCUGAUAAGCCCAAGCUCCCGAUCCCUCCCACUCCCUCCCUCUCCCAUCAGGCAGCCACAAGUCUCUUCUCCACGUCCAUGAUUUUCUUUUCUGAGGAGAUGUUCAUUUGUGCUGGAUAUUAGAUUCCAGUUAUAAGUGAUAUCCGAUGGUAUUUGUCUUUGUCUUUCUGGCUCAUUUCACUCAGGAUGAGAUUCUCUAGUUCCAUCCAUGUUGCUGCAAAUGGCAUCAUGUCAUCCUUUUUUAUGGCUGAGUAGUAUUCCAUUGUGUAUAUAUAACACAUCUUCCGAAUCCAGUCAUCUGUCGAUGGACAUUUGGGUUGUUUCCACGUCCUGGCUAUUGUGAAUAGUGCUGCAAUGAACAUGCGGGUGCAUGCGUAUAUGUCUUUUUUAAGUAGAGUUUUGUCUGGAUAUAUGCCAAAGAGUGGAAAUGCUGGAUGAUAUGGCAGCUCUAUGUAUAGUUUUCUAAGGUACCUCCAUAAUGUUCUCAAGAGUGGUUGUACAGUCCCACCAACAGUGCAGGAGGCUUCCCUUUUCUCCACAUCCCCUCCAGCAUUUGUUAUUUGUGACUUAUUAAUGAUCGCCAUUCUGACUGGUGUGAGGUGGUAUCUCAUGAUAGUUUUGAUUUGCAUUUCUCUAAUAAUCAGGGAUGUUGUGCAUUGUUUUAAGUGCUUCUUGGCCAUCUGUAUAUCUUCCUUGGAGAAAUGUCUAUUCAGGCUCUUUGCCCAUCUUUCCAUUGGGUCGUUGGCUUUUUUUGCCAUUGAGUUGUAUAGGUUGCUCCUAUAUUUUAGAGAUUAAGCCCUUGUCAGUUGCAUAAUUGGAAACUAUUUUCUCCCAUUCUUUAAGUUGUCUUUUUGUUUCAUUUUUGGUUUACUUUACUGUGCAAAAGCUUGUCAGUUUGAUUAGGUCUCAUUGGUCUAUUUUUGCUUUUAUUUCUGUUGCUUUGGGAGACGGACCUGAGAAAACAUUUGCAAGGCUGAUGUCAGAGAAUGUUUUGCCUAUGUUCUCUUCCAGGAGUUUGAUGGUGUCUUAUCUUAUAUUGAUGUCUUUCAGCCAUUUUGAGUUUAUUUUUGUGCAUGGUGUGAGGCUGUGUUCCAGUUUCACUGAUUUGCAUGCAGCUGUCCAGGUUUCCCAGCAAUACUUGCUGAAAAGACUGUCUUUUUUCCAUUUUAUGUUCCUGCCUCCUUUGUCAAAGAUUAAUUGACCAUAGGGUCUGGGUUUAUUUCUGGGUUCUCUCUUAUAUUCCAUUGGUUAGUCUGUCGGUUUUGGUACCAAUACCACUCUGUCUUGAUGACUAUGGCUUUGUAAUAUUGCCUGAAGUCUGGGAGAGAGAUGCCUCCUGCUUGGCUUUUGUUCCUCAGCAUUGCUUUGGGAAUUCUGGGUCUUUUGUGGUUCCAUAUAAAUGUUUGGAUUGUUUGUUCUAGUUUGGUGAAAAAUGUCAUGGGUAGUUUGAUAGGGAUUGCAUUGAAUCUGUAGAUUGUUUUGGGUAGUAUGGCAAUUUUUACAAUAUUAAUUUUUCCAACCCAGGAACAUGGAAUAUCUU